ACCUUUAUGCCCUUGCCCUAUUCAGCCCCCUCCGAGAGAGAACGAGUUCCGGCGAAUCUUUCCGCGGCUUCACCGCACUUCUCCCCGGUGCCUUCUUCAUCCCCAGGCAAGCCACAAUACCCACUUGCAUGAUAGUCAUGCAAUAGCCAUGGUUUUCAACUUAAAUAUUUAAUAAAUGUUUGCUUGUUGAAAAGAUGGUUAUCGUUGUUCCGGUGAUGUUCAGAUUUGCAUGUUCACUUUUGUGCUAUGUUGUUUUGUACUCUGUGAUCAUGUUAUACCUGCUAGUAUUACUAUUCAUAUGUUUAUGCUUGUUAGUAGUACAUGUUGAUGUUGGAGAUGGUCAUGCUAGUCGGUAUGUGAUGCUCAGUGGAUAUGAUUUACUGUUGAUAUGGUGGAAAGUUAUGUGAUGUUCUCAUGAUGAUGUUGAUAUCAUGUUCAUGCAUUUUAUCAUGGCUCAGCAUAUUUGCAUUCAAGUUUAACAGGAUUAAAUUGAACUUGAACACCUGUUGGCUGAGUCAUGGUGCCGCUGAAUCGAUGUUGACCAGUGCAACCACGCUUACCGGUAUGGGACGGUCCUAACUGGGUCUAUUGUUGUGCCUCUCGCCGGUGCCUCCAAUGAGGGAAGGUUAUGGGCGCGUGCUACCCUGAUCAGGUAGGCGGAGCAUAACCUUGUGUGCAUGUUGUUGAGUUAGUUUUUGGAUCCAUGUCACUGUGUGGGACGGGCCACGACGGUGGUCGUUGUGUCUGGAGGUAGGCACGGGGCCACCCAUGACUUAGCUCAGUGAGGAGUGAGUCGGAGUGGCCGGGAGAGUGUCAUGGCAGUAGUUCGGUUUUGUCGAAACGCCUUUGGUCCACCGGAAUGGGAGGGCGAGGCCAUGGGUUCCAUAGUGUGGGUACAGUGUACUAACCUCUGCAGAGUGUAUAUUAACCUAUCGAUAGCCGCGCCCGCGGAUAAGGACCCAGGUCGAGAGAAGGUCACACCAUGAGUCAACAGUAAUAAAAAAUAAUGUGUUUAAUAACAGUGAGAUAAGUUAGCCAAGUGUUGGUCGGGUUGUGAUCGUCGUAAGGAUCACGGGUCAUUUAGUGGUCGGGUUGUGAUCGCCGUAAGGAUCACGGGCCAUUUAGUGGUCGGGUGGUGAUCGCUGUAAGGAUCACAAGUUUGUCUAUGUUGGGGAUCAGGAAAUGAGAUGAUCACCGUUGGUAAGAGAGUCCGAGGGACUCAGUGCACAAGUUUGGUUGUAUUGCAUGAGUAAUAUGUUUGCAUUUAAAGAACCAUGGUAGAUCAUGAGAUGGUUGCAUACAGUUAACAUGCUAUGUCUGCAUCUGAUAUGAUUGGUAGUUUGUUAUUGCCAUGCCAUGCUUUGAUUGAGAUGAUCAUGUGAUGUCCGAGGUUGAUAAGUGAUGCAUGUGUCGGUUACGAGGUAACCGAGCAGUAUAAAUGGUGCAUGUAGUGACAUCGUGUUGCAUGAUAUUAUUGUUGGAUUAAUAUGUUCAUGUUGAGAUAGCAGUAUCAUGUUUAAGUUGGUCAUGCCAUGUUAUUUUGAUAAUAUCAUGUUAAUUCCUGUUUGACCUGUAAUUGCCAUGCUAUUGUUUGUCUUGAAUGUUUCUGGUUUAUUGUGAGCUUGCAAGUACAUUCAAUGUACUGACCUGGCGUGUCAUGCCAGCUUGCAGGUCAUGCCGGAUUUGAUUGCUUGCUUGUCGUGGUUUCCGUUCGUGCGAGCUAGGAUAAGCGUUCCCGCCAGAGUCCCUGCGGAGUGGAGUUCACCACCGUCACCGUUGUUCCGCUGCUAGAGUUAUUCCGCUGCUUCGAGUUGUUCUGCUGCUUGCAUAGAGCAACUAAGGAUGGCGUAGUGUCGUCGUACCGAUGUUAUUCAUUGUAAU
rnacentral:lncRNA from 1 species